GAUGAACGCUGGCGGCGUGCCUAAUACAUGCAAGUCGAGCGAACAGAUAAGGAGCUUGCUCCUUUGACGUUAGCGGCGGACGGGUGAGUAACACGUGGGUAACCUACCUAUAAGACUGGGAUAACUUCGGGAAACCGGAGCUAAUACCGGAUAACAUUUGGAACCGCAUGGUUCUAAAGUGAAAGAUGGUUUUGCUAUCACUUAUAGAUGGACCCGCGCCGUAUUAGCUAGUUGGUAAGGUAACGGCUUACCAAGGCGACGAUACGUAGCCGACCUGAGAGGGUGAUCGACCACACUGGAACUGAGACACGGUCCAGACUCCUACGGGAGGCAGCAGUAGGGAAUCUUCCGCAAUGGGCGAAAGCCUGACGGAGCAACGCCGCGUGAGUGAUGAGGGGUUUCGGCUCGUAAAACUCUGUUAUUAGGGAAGAACAAACGUGUAAGUAACUGUGCACGUCUUGACGGUACCUAAUCAGAAAGCCACGGCUAACUACGUG
rnacentral:rRNA from 1 species